rnacentral:lncRNA from 1 species
GGGCCUUCCUGGGGGUGGGGGGAGAAAGCCGCUCCGAACUCCUGGCCCGCUUGGGCAUCCCCGCGGAGGAGAUGGACGGACCGAACCGACACCUGGAGGGCCUGUGGGAAGCCCUGGAGGACAUCUACCUGUCCAAGGAGGUGGACGCCCCGCGGGAGAAGGUGGAGGCCGUGUCUUGGUCCGUGGCGGCCUUCGGCCCUGAGGGCCCGGUUGGGGAUCCCCGUGGAGGAGAUGGACGCCCUGGACCGACACCUGGAGGGCCUGUGGGAAGCCCUGGAGGACAUCUACCUGUCCAAGGAGGUGGACGCCCCGCGGGAGAAGGUGGAGGCCGUGUCUUGGUCCGUGGCGGCCUUCAAGGGGGCCCUGAGGGCGGCCGGACGGGCCGAGGGUCCCGCCUGGGAGAGGCUGGGCGCCCUGGAGAGAUGCGUGGAAGGUCUGCCGCUGGAGGAAAUGGCGGCCCUGAAUGAGGAGCUGAGGACCCUCACAGAGGUCCUGAGGGAGAAGGCGGAAGCCCCAGAGGACGUGCCCUGGAUGGAGGUGGGAGAGGCCCCGGAUUGGGGCCAAGCAGAGACCUGGAAGGCGCCCGGCGCAGGUGCCGAUCCAACACCUGUGGUGGCAGGAGGAGGAAGAGACCAAGACGGGAUUGGGGCCUUGGGACUGCCUUUGCCAGCUUCUGUGGGGGCAUCAAGCUUCUCGACGAAGGAGGACACCGGUUGCAGCCGUCCUGUCAACUCCCCGGGAGGUGCGUCGGCCUCGGGGCCUCCUUCGGGUCUUGGGGCAAGGAGAAACUGGCACAAGGAUGUGACUCAGGAGGCGCGCCAGUGCUUGGUCCCGAAGUUGUAA